UACAGAGGGGGCAAGCGUUAUUCGGAAUUAUCGGGCGUAAAGGGCGCGUAGGCGGCAUGGCAAGUGGAAGGUGAAAUCCCUCGGCUUAACCGAGGAACUGCCCUCCAAACUGCUUUGCUUGAGGCCGGGAGAGGUGAGUGGAAUUCCCAGUGUAGCGGUGAAAUGCGUAGAUAUUGGGAGGAACACCAGUGGCGAAGGCGGCUCACUGGACCGGUUCUGACGCUGAGGCGCGAAAGCGUGGGGAGCAAACGGG
rnacentral:rRNA from 1 species